rnacentral:lncRNA from 1 species
CAGAAAAACAUAGGCCUUGCAUGGAAAUUCUUAAGAAAUGUCAAAGAGCUAGUCCUCUUGGAAAGAUGUGGAUUGUGAAGCUGUGAACAGAACUGUGCAAGGAAAAUGGCAUUGUCCACGAUGGAGAAAAAGGCCAAGACCUGUGUCAUAUGUGAGCAGGUAGAGUGCCUUUUCCCUGUGAGGGAGACAACUCCAGAAGCUGGGUCAGAUGUGCGUGGGGCUAGAAAGAAGGGGCAGAAGAAGUAUCCCUAUCCUGCGCUGGAAAGCAAGUGCAAAUGGGGCAAUUCCCUCUUCCUUGCAUCUCUCAGAUCAGGUGAGUAAUAGGGAACCCUGGUAAAUCCAUCACACUAAGUAGAUUGCUUGCCUGUGAUGACGUUGUGUAAUUCACUUAGCUUUUAAAUUGUUUAGUCUAUGUUAGGAGGUCACUGAUAAUCCAAAGCAGAUACAGGGAAAGUUUUGAAAACAACCAAUGUUAGACAAGGUUCCAGGAUCUUCUGUCAAUUCAGUGUCAUGAAUCCCUACCUGUUUUUCCCUUACAAUCUUUAUGAAUUCCAGAGCUCCUUCUGAGGGGGCUUUCUCAAAUGUUUUCUGGGAGGAUGGCCUUGGGGCUAUGGCCUUAACCUCUGGUUCUCCACUCAUUAGUUAUAAAUCCCUAGGAAUUCGCCUCACUUACCUGAGCUUCAGUUUCCUCAUCUAUAAAUUGGAAUACCACCACUACCACAUAGAGGGACUUGCAUGAACCAAUGACAUGGCACAUUUGAAAAGUGCCAAGGCUGGAUAUGGUAUAGGAAGUCUUCCGAUAGAUGUUUUCCUUUUUCUCUCAAAAUGCUAGGCAUCUAGUAUGUCUUCUUCGUGCCAAUAAUCUUGGGGGAAUUUGCCCCAGAAAAAAAGCAAGCCAAAUUUGUGUAGUAGUCACAAAGACUGCUUCAAAAACACAAGCUUUCUCUUAAAUAGACAAAUGGGCAUGAACAACAGACAAUACACUGUUGCUUUAACCCUCUAGCUGCAGACCUUUUCUUGGAACUCCGGUGCCUGAAGGGUUAAGCCACUAAUCC